GCAGCUGCGGUAAUUCCAGCUCCAAUAGCGUAUAUUAAGCAUGGAAUAAUAGAAUAGGAAGUCGUUUCUAUUUUGUUGGUUUUCGGAAAUCGACUUAAUGAUUAAUAGGGACAGUCGGGGGCAUUUGUAUUCAAACGACAGAGGUGAAAUUCUUGGACCGUUUGAAGACAAACUACUGCGAAAGCAUUUGCCAAGAAUGUUUUCAUUAAUCAAGAACGAAAGU
rnacentral:rRNA from 1 species